GACGAACGCUGGCGGCGUGCCUAAUACAUGCAAGUCGAGCGAACCAAUAGGAGCUUGCUCCUGUUGGUUAGCGGCGGACGGGUGAGUAACACGUGGGCAACCUGCCUGUAAGACUGGGAUAACACCGGGAAACCGGUGCUAAUACCGGAUAAUCUUUUUCCUCUCAUGAGGAAAAACUGAAAGUCGGUUUCGGCUGACACUUACAGCUGGGUCCGCGGGGCAUUAGCUAGUUGGUGAGGUAACGGCUCACCAAGGCGACGAUGCGUAGCCGACCUGAGAGGGUGAUCGGCCACACUGGGACUGAGACACGGCCCAGACUCCUACGGGAGGCAGCAGUAGGGAAUCUUCCACAAUGGACGAAAGUCUGAUGGAGCAACGCCGCGUGAGCGAUGAAGGCCUUCGGGUCGUAAAGCUCUGUUGUUAGGGAAGAACAAGUACCGGAGUAACUGCCGGUGCCUUGACGGUACCUAACCAGAAAGCCACGGCUAACUACGUGCCAGCAGCCGCCGUAA
rnacentral:rRNA from 1 species